ACGGCUCAGUAACACGUGGACAACCUACCCUUGGGUCCGGCAUAAUCCUGGGAAACUGGGAAUAAUUCCGGAUAGGUCACCGAUGCUGGAAUGCGCGGUGGCCGAAAGCUCCGGCGCCCGAGGAUGGGUCUGCGGCCUAUCAGGGUUGUAGUGGGUGUAACGUACCUACUAGCCUACGACGGGUACGGGUUGUGAGAGCAAGAGCCCGGAGAUGGAUUCUGAGACACGAAUCCAGGCCCUACGGGGUGCAGCAGGCGCGAAAACUUUACAAUGCGGGAAACCGUGAUAAGGGGAUCUCGAGUGCCAGCAUAUAAUGUUGGCUGUCCAGAUGCCUAAAAAGCAUCUGUUAGCAAGGGCCGGGCAAGACCGGUGCCAGCCGCCGCGGUAACACCGGCGGCCCGAGUGGUAACCGCUAUUAUUGGGUCUAAAGGGUCUGUAGCCGGCCAGGUAAGUCCCUUGGGAAAUCUGGCAGCUCAACUGUCAGGCUGCUAGGGGAUACUGUUUGGCUUGGGACCGGGAGAGGUGAGAGGUACCUUGGGGGUAGGGGUGAAAUCUUGUGAUCCUCGAGGGGCCACCAGUGGCGAAGGCGUCUCACCAGAACGGGUCCGACGGUAAGGGACGAAAGCUAGGGGCACGAACCGGAUUAGAUACCCGGGUAGUCCUAGCCGUAAACGAUGCUCGCUAGGUGUCAGUCACGGUGCGACCGUGAUUGGUGCCGUAGGGAAGCCGUGAAGCGAGCCACCUGGGAAGUAUGGCCGCAAGGCUGAAACUUAAAGGAAUUGGCGGGGGAGCAC
rnacentral:rRNA from 1 species